rnacentral:lncRNA from 1 species
ACCACCACGAUGACUUAUAAGCAACUCACUGUACUUUAGUACUAGACUAUCUGAGUUUCUAACUUAGUGACAGAAGGAUAUUAGAUGCAGUCAAGUACUUAUCAAGUCAGUGUAUGAGUCAAGAUGGAAUUAACCCCUCUGAAUUGGUAGGAGAUAUGCAUCAGUAUUUUUUAAUUUAGCAAAAUCUUAAUUAGGAUAA